CUCCUGCAUCAGCAGGUGGACUCUCAACCACUGCGCCACCAGCAAGUGCAUUUUGGGGCCAAGUUGGUUUAUGCUGUUCCCCAGGAAACAAAAAGAAAAUCCACAACCAACCAAACUGCUUGUAUAGCCAUUCCCAUGGAGCCCAGUGCUUCCUAGGCAUGAAAUUGACUGACACACAAAGGCAGCAGGUGCGGGGCCACAUGCCACUUGCUGCUUUUUUUUUUAGUGUGUGUUUAUAAUCAGUAAAUGGCUGUGGAUGUUUAAAUGGUUCCCUAAUACGAUGGAGAGCGGAUGCCAUUAUAACUUGAACUUGUAUUGCCACGCAGAUGGUGGAAAUAAACAUCCAAUUCUGCACACA